AGUGAACGCUGGCGGUAGGCCUAACACAUGCAAGUCGAGCGGCAGCACAGUAAGAGCUUGCUCUUACGGGUGGCGAGUGGCGGACGGGUGAGGAAUACAUCGGAAUCUACUUUUUCGUGGGGGAUAACGUAGGGAAACUUACGCUAAUACCGCAUACGACCUACGGGUGAAAGCAGGGGAUCUUCGGACCUUGCGCGAUUGAAUGAGCCGAUGUCGGAUUAGCUAGUUGGCGGGGUAAAGGUCCACCAAGGCGACGAUCCGUAGCUGGUCUGAGAGGAUGAUCAGCCACACUGGAACUGAGACACGGUCCAGACGACUACGGGAGGCAGCAGAGGGGAAUAUUGGACAAUGGGCGGAAGCAUGAUCCAGCCAUACCGCGUGGGUGAAGAAGGCCUUCGGGUUGUAAAGACCUUUUGUUGGGAAAGAAAAGCAGCAGGUUAAUACCCCGCUGUUCUGACGGUACCCAAAGAAUAAGCACCGGCUAACUUCGUG
rnacentral:rRNA from 1 species